rnacentral:rRNA from 1 species
UACGGAGGGUGCAAACGUUGCUCGGAAUCAUUGGGCGUAAAGCGCGUGUAGGCGGUUACGUAAGUCUGCUGUGAAAGUCGGAGGCUCAACCUUCGAAAGCCGGUGGAUACUGCGUGACUAGAGUACGGAAGAGGAGAGUGGAAUUCCUGGUGUAGCGGUGAAAUGCGCAGAUAUCAGGAAGAACACCAAUGGCGAAGGCAGCUCUCUGGGACGGUACUGACGCUGAGACGCGAAAGCGUGGGGAGCGAACAGG